UACGGAGGGUGCGAGCGUUGUCCGGAAUCAUUGGGCGUAAAGGGCGCGUAGGUGGCGGCUUAAGCGUGCGGUGAAAGCUCGGGGCUCAAACCCCGAGUCGGCCGUGCGAAACUGAGUCGCUUGAGCACUGUAGAGGCAGGCGGAAUUCCGGGUGUAGCGGUGGAAUGCGCAGAUAUCAGGAGGAACACCGGUGGCGAAGGCGGAUCUCUGGGCCAUAACUGACGCUGAGGAGCGAAAGCAUGGGGAGCGAACAGGA
rnacentral:rRNA from 1 species